rnacentral:lncRNA from 1 species
CUUAGGUUUAGCAUUCUCAACAUAAUUACUAUAUAUUCAUAAAAACUAUGAAAUUGGAGGCGGAUAAUUUAUUCAUUAAAGCUCCUUAACUUGAGGAUGGCACAAAUCAAACGUUUUCUGCCGCAUUAGACAAAUCUCCUGCGCCUUUCGUGUCGGCAUUCGCCUUCCUCACGCCGCUGAACUCGAACUCGACGUUGAUCUUCUCAAAUCUACACCACUUUCUGCGACCGUGAUCCUCAGAGUCGCAAUAGAAGUAGGUGUAGAAAACCACCCCGCUGGUGGCGGCGGCGAGGGCGUGGAAGGCCACGGCCAUACACGCUCCUGUGAGCUGCGAGAAGUGGUAGGCGAAGCCGAACCCGAUCGCGGUGGUGAAGAUCCAGGUGACGAGCUUGAGCACCGCACGCCGCGGCCCCCUGUCCGUGGGGGGCGACCUAUUCAGCUCGGUCAGGCAGUAGUCGAGCAGGAGGUAGGCGAGGUACACGAAGACGAUGAAGACGACCAUGGGGGUGUCGCCGUUGACAGAGGCUCGGUAAAUGGUGCUGACGCUGUUGAUGGUGAGGAAAGCGAGGGGGAUCGAGCAGGGGAGGCCGGAGUGGUCGUCGCCACCGUGGUUACUGACCCCGGCGUCGGACGAGGAGACAGGAAGCCUCUGUCGCCUCUGGGUAUUUGCGUGCGCCAUUUUUCUUCUAAAAAACACGAGAGAUGAGAUUUAUAAAGGUACUCAGCGGAAGUGACGAGUGACGAUAUGGGAUGUGGUUUGACAUGAGGAGCGUCAUUGGGUUUUAUACAAGGGCGGUCAACACGGUCGUCGCGGCUAGACAUUCCCAGAACUUGCGCUGGGGCCAGGACAAUCUCGAGCAAUGCUCCUGGAAAGCUCCCGAGAGGGUACCUUUUCUCUUUUUCUUUUUUUCUUUUUUUCCGAGCGGGGACUUUACUCGGUUUUUCGGUGCGUGUUUUCCAUUGGCAAGGACGAGGAAGCUACCUAAAGCGGCG